CCUACGGGGGCAGCAGUGGGGAAUAUUGGACAAUGGGCGAAAGCCUGAUCCAGCCAUGCCGCGUGUGUGAAGAAGGCCUUCGGGUUGUAAAGCACUUUCAGUGGGGAAGAAAGCCUUGGGGCUAAUACCCUCGAGGAAGGACAUCACCCACAGAAGAAGCACCGGCUAACUCCGUGCCAGCAGCCGCGGUAAUACGGAGGGUGCGAGCGUUAAUCGGAAUUACUGGGCGUAAAGCGCGCGUAGGCGGUCUGAUAAGCCGGUUGUGAAAGCCCCGGGCUCAACCUGGGAACGGCAUCCGGAACUGUCAGGCUAGAGUGCAGGAGAGGAAGGUAGAAUUCCCGGUGUAGCGGUGAAAUGCGUAGAGAUCGGGAGGAAUACCAGUGGCGAAGGCGGCCUUCUGGACUGACACUGACGCUGAGGUGCGAAAGCGUGGGUAGCAAACAGGAUUAGAUCCCCGGUAGUC
rnacentral:rRNA from 1 species